rnacentral:rRNA from 1 species
UACGCAGGGGGCUAGCGUUGUUCGGCAUUCCUGGGCGUCAAGCGCGCGCAGGCGGUCUUUCAAGUCAGUGGUGAAAGCCUGGAGCUCAACUCCAGAACUGCCAUUGAAACUGCAAGACUUGAGUACGAGAGAGGUGAGUGGAAUUCCCAGUGUAGAGGUGAAAUUCGUAGAUAUUGGGAAGAACACCGGUGGCGAAGGCGGCUCACUGGCUCGUAACUGACGCUCAGGCGCGACAGCGUGGGGAUCAAACAGG